rnacentral:misc_RNA from 1 species
ACUAUAUCCACCAGUCUAGAAACAGAAGCCAGAAAAAGAAAAUCUGCAUCAGCAUCAAAACCAAAAGAGAAAAGAAAAACAUAUAGACAUACAUAUCACAUGACCUUUUCCACUUACUGCAAUGACAUUAACAAGCGAUGUUUUCCCAGCAUUCUGAAGUCCUAUCAGAGACAACUCCAUUUCUUGCUUGAAAAAGAGACUUCGCAGCCAAUUGAGAAAAGCUUCCCAUAAUCCCAUCUUUCCUUUGUCUUUAAUUUCAAUCAAAUAAACAAGAAAAUAGGGUUUCGAUUAAAACCCAAAAAGAUAGGUGAAAAAUCCAGUCUUUUCGAGAGCCUUUUUCCACUCAAUAAUUGAAUUGAAUUCCCUCGCUAUUUAAAUUCGAAAUCCAAAAGCAAAAGCUAAUGGUAAUCCAAAUUCAGACAAAAUAAAGAACGUUUUAAAAUUUAUUUCACGCGCCUGCUAAAAAGAGUGGCGACUCUGAGCCAAUCGUAGAGGUUUCUUGCAGCACCUGUGAGGAUCUUAUUGAGGAGAAGACAAUAAAAGCGCGAGAAAUAAAUGCAAGGAAGUGUGAAUCGUGUUUGCUCAAAAACGACGUUAUUUAAAGAGGAUGAAAAUAUAUCUGGCCAAGAGCUGGUUCGGCUUUUAAAACAGACCAAGAUCAGCCUGAGUCAAA